rnacentral:rRNA from 1 species
GACGAACGCUGGCGGCGUGCCUAACACAUGCAAGUCGAGCGAAUGAAGUUCCUUCGGGAAUGGAUUUAGCGGCGGACGGGUGAGUAACACGUGGGCAACCUGCCUCAUAGAGGGGAAUAGCCUUCCGAAAGGGAGAUUAAUACCGCAUAAGAUUGUAGUACCGCAUGGUACAGCAAUUAAAGGAGCAAUCCGCUAUGAGAUGGGCCCGCGGCGCAUUAGCUAGUUGGUGAGGUAACGGCUCACCAAGGCGACGAUGCGUAGCCGACCUGAGAGGGUGAUCGGCCACAUUGGGACUGAGACACGGCCCAGACUCCUACGGGAGGCAGCAGUGGGGAAUAUUGCACAAUGGGCGAAAGCCUGAUGCAGCAACGCCGCGUGAGCGAUGAAGGCCUUCGGGUCGUAAAGCUCUGUCCUCAAGGAAGAUAAUGACGGUACCCGGAGAAGAAGCCCCGGCUAACUUCGUGCCAGCAGCCGCCGUAA